rnacentral:misc_RNA from 1 species
AACAAAGGCGUACUACUGACG